GGCUGAGCAAUGGAGUUGGGACUCGGGGAGCAAUAGGUGCCUGUGUCCCAAGCUUCCUGUGUGGCCCUUGCAAGCUCCUGCUCCCCUCGCCUGCAAGUGGAGCGAUGCUCAAGUUUGAGGAAUCUUUUCCUCGGCAGGCGGUAAAAGACGCCGCAGCUGCGAGUUUUGUGUCCUUCUUUGUUAUUGGAAAGCAGCCUCCUUGAGAGCAGGAGAGCAGCAGGCUGUCUGCUGUGUGGCUGCUGAAGGGCGUUUCUCCCCAGCUGAGAUCCCUGAGCCCA